UCUUCCCUCUUUCUUCGUGCCUAAUACAUGCAAGUCGAGCGAACGGACGAGAAGCUUGCUUCUCUGAUGUUAGCGGCGGACGGGUGAGUAACACGUGGAUAACCUACCUAUAAGACUGGGAUAACUUCGGGAAACCGGAGCUAAUACCGGAUGAUAUUUUGAACCGCAUGGUUCAAAAGUGAAAGACGGUCUUGCUGUCACUUAUAGAUGGAUCCGCGCUGCAUUAGCUAGUUGGUAAGGUAACGGCUUACCAAGGCAACGAUGCAUAGCCGACCUGAGAGGGUGAUCGGCCACACUGGAACUGAGACACGGUCCAGACUCCUACGGGAGGCAGCAGUAGGGAAUCUUCCGCAAUGGGCGAAAGCCUGACGGAGCAACGCCGCGUGAGUGAUGAAGGUCUUCGGAUAGUAAAACUCUGUUAUUAGGGAAGAACAUAUGUGUAAGUAACUGUGCACAUCUUGACGGUACCUAAUCAGAAAGCCACGGCUAACUACGUG
rnacentral:rRNA from 1 species